rnacentral:rRNA from 1 species
CAGUCGCCACGGUAAAACGGAGGGUGCAAGCGUUAAUCGGAAUUACUGGGCGUAAAGCGUGCGUAGGCGGUUCGUUAAGUCUGUUGUGUAAGCCCCGGGCUCAACCUGGGAAUGGCAAUGGAUACUGGCGAGCUAGAGUGUGUCAGAGGAUGGUGGAAUUCCCGGUGUAGCGGUGAAAUGCGUAGAGAUCGGGAGGAACAUCAGUGGCGAAGGCGGCCAUCUGGGACAACACUGACGCUGAGGCACGAAAGCGUGGGGAGCAAACAGGAUUAGAUACCCCCGUAGUCCCUGUCUCUUAUAC